rnacentral:misc_RNA from 1 species
GGAAGUAAAAGCCGUAACAAGGUUUCCGUAGGUGAACCUGCGGAAGGAUCAUUAAGGAGAAUAUGCCCUUCGGGGUAGAUCUCCCACCCUUUGUUUAUAUUACCUUUGUUGCUUUGGCAGGCCCGUCUUCGGACCACCGGCUUCGGCUGGUCAGUGCUUGCCAGAGGACCCAAAACUCUUAUUAUUAAUGUCGUCUGAGUACUAUAUAAUAGUUAAAGCUUUCAACAACGGAUCUCUUGGUUCUG